AGCUCCAAUAGCGUAUACUAACUUUGUUGCAGUUAAAAGGCUCGUAGUCGAAUUUAUGGCAUUGUCGUCCUGACCCACUAUUCAAUAUAGUGAGUGUUGGUGUCUACUUGUCAUCCUUCUGGAAAGCACUUCUGACAUUGAUUUGUUGGUUGUUGUAAUCCAGAUCAUUUACUGUGAGUAAAUCAAAGUGUUCAAAGCAGGCUUGUGAAGCUUGUAUGCUCUAGCAUGGAAUAAUAAGAUAGGACUUGGUUCUAUUUUGUUGGCUUUCAGAAUCAAGUAAUGAUUGAUAGGGAUAGUUGGGGGUGCUUAUAUUUAAUGGUCAGCGGUGAAAUGCGUAGACCCAUUAAAGAUAAACUUAUGCGAAAGCAUUCACCAAGGAUAUCUUCUUUGAUCAAGAACG
rnacentral:rRNA from 1 species